rnacentral:tRNA from 1 species
GAGGAUUGUUGUGGUUGCCGCUGCUAACGGUGAUCGGGGUGUUUGUUCGUCCGGUCUUCU